AGCGUGAGGAGGGAGGGGAGCGCGGCUCCAGGCAGAGCACCGGGUUCAACACCCGGAUUGGUCGCAAGUAGGAAGCUUUCGCCACUACUCUGGGACCCUGGGUCCGUGCCGGCGCCGCACCCGAAGCUGAGGCGGGAGCCGCGCUCAGGUGCUCAGGUGAUGUGCAAUUGAACUUGAGAUGAAUAACAUAUUUGGAGGAAUCAUUGACAUAUAGUAACUCCACAGCAUGUGGCCCCAAGAUCUAUACUAAAAGG